rnacentral:rRNA from 1 species
UACGUAGGGCGCAAGCGUUAUCCGGAAUUAUUGGGGGAAAAGAGCUCGAGGGCGGUUUGUCGCGUCUGCUGUGAAAACCCGAGGCUCAACCUCGGGCCUGCAGUGGGUACGGGCAGACUAGAGUGCGGUAGGGGAGAUUGGAAUUCCUGGUGUAGCGGUGGAAUGCGCAGAUAUCAGGAGGAACACCGAUGGCGAAGGCAGAUCUCUGGGCCGUAACUGACGCUGAGGAGCGAAAGCAUGGGGAGCGAACAGG